CGGCUGUGAUGACCAAAUUCGUUUCUCGAUGCUGAUUUUUUUUUAAGACCAUUAGAAGGACAUACACGGUUCUUCUGUGUAUAUCUGGUAUUAAUUUUUGAUGACAUAUUUGUGCGUGUCUGAGCCAU